rnacentral:lncRNA from 1 species
AUGGCAGUAGUUGGAAGGGUAUCAGUACCGUGCCACGGGUACUAACACUAGCUAUGUGGAUCCAUUAAAGUUUUGUCCCAAAGGACUAAGGGUUACCCUCAACUGGCAGGUUACAUCUCAACCUAUGUUGUCUACGUAUUUAUGGAACACGGGGGCUACUACUAAAGGUCACACCCUCAACUGACAGGUGAACCCCCAAU